rnacentral:rRNA from 1 species
CCUUCAUGGAAUAUUGCCCAAUACGAAUUACCCGGUUACAAGUAGAGUCAUUGGCAGGGGAGUAGUCCGAAGUUUCCCCAGGUGGUAGCCGCUGAAAAAGCGUUUGUGCAUCUGGUCGGAAUAAGCGAAUGGCGAAGGGCAGCCCAUCUGUCUUUAAUACCUGACGGUGAAGGUACGAAAGCAUGGGGAAGCAAACAGGGAUUAGAUACCCUGGUAGUCCAUGCCGUAAACGAUGUCUAGUAGCCGUUGGAGCCUUUGAGGCUUUAGUGGCGCAGCUAACGCGAUAAGUAGACCGCGUGGGGAGUACGGUCGCAAGACUAAAACUCAAAUGAAUUGACGGGGGCCCGCACAAGCGGUGGAGCAUGUGGUUUAAUUCGAUGCAACGCGAAGAACCUUACCUGGUCUUGACAUAGUAAGAACUUUCCAGAGAUGGAUUGGUGCCUUCGGGAACUUACAUACAGGUGCUGCAUGGCUGUCGUCAGCUCGUGUCGUGAGAUGUUGGGUUAAGUCCCGCAACGAGCGCAACCCUUUUCCUUAUUUGCCAGCGGGUUAAGCCGGGAACUUUAAGGAUACUGCCAGUGACAAACUGGAGGAAGGCGGGGACGACGUCAAGUCAUCAUGGCCCUUAAGACCAGGGCUACACACGUGAUACAAUGGUCGGUACAAAGGGUUGCUACCUAGCGAUAGGAUGCUAAUCUCAAAAAGCCGAUCGUAGUCCGGAUUGGAGUSAGCAACUCGACUCCAUGAAGUCGGAAUCGCUAGUAAUCGUGGAUCAGAAUGCCGCGGUGAAUACGUUCCCGGRCCUUGUUAGAUACCCACCUCACAUAAGUGGGUUGAAACUAGGUAGAUUUAGAUCGAGCCUCAGUAAGUAGGUCGAAGCAAAGCGAGAGGGUC